rnacentral:rRNA from 1 species
AACGAACGCUGGCGGCAGGCUUAACACAUGCAAGUCGAGCGCCCCGCAAGGGGAGCGGCAGACGGGUGAGUAACGCGUGGGAACAUACCCUUUCCUGCGGAAUAGCUCCGGGAAACUGGAAUUAAUACCGCAUACGCCCUACGGGGGAAAGGUUUAUCGGGGAAGGAUUGGCCCGCGUUGGAUUAGCUAGUUGGUGGGGUAAAGGCCUACCCAGGCGACGAUCCAUAGCUGGUCUGAGAGGAUGAUAAGCCACAUUGGGACUGGAACCACGGCCCAAACUCCUCCAGGAGGCAGCAUUGGGGAAUAUUGGACAAUGGGCGCAAGCCUGAUCCAGCCAUGCCGCGUGAGUGAUGAAGGCCUUAGGGUUGUAAAGCUCUUUCACCGGAGAAGAUAAUGACGGUAUCCGGAGAAGAAGCCCCGGCUAACUUCGUGCCAGCCGCCGCCGUAACAC